AUUGAACGCUGGCGGCAGGCCUAACACAUGCAAGUCGAACGAGUGGCGGACGGGUGGGUAAUGUAUGGGAAACUGCCUGACGGAGGGGGCUAACUACUGGAAACGGUAGCUAAUACCGCAUACCAUCGGAUGUGCCCAGAGGGGAUUAGCGAGUCGGUGGGGUAAAGGCUCACCUAGGCGACGCUCCCUAGCUGGCCUGAGAGGAUGAACAGCCACACUGGAACUGAGACACGGUCCAGACUCCUACGGGAGGCAGCAGUGGGGAAUAUUGGACAAUGGGCGCAAGUCUGAUGCAGCCAUGCCGCGUGUGUGAAGAAGGCUUUCGGGUUGUAAAGUACUUUCAGCGGGGAGGCGUUACCCGAAGAAGAAGCACCGGCUAACUCCGUGCCAGCAGCCGCGGUAAUAC
rnacentral:rRNA from 1 species